CACCUCUCCAUCUUCUGUGCAUCUCCCUCAUCAUUGUCUCUCUACACAGCUGGAUAGGACACUCCCAGGGAUGAGACCAGAUUAAUAGGGCUCGCUGCUCAUCGAGAUAUCCUGUGCCCAGAGGAAAUCAAAGAACUUGUUAUACAUUGGCUCCAGUUCCAGACCCUUCAUUCCAAACACCUGUCGGAUCCAAGAUUAGGCCAUUGUCAAGGAAAACUGGGCCAUCAUGGGCCUGACACUUGCUAAGAGAUUAUAAUCAGAACCACAGAGACCCCCCACCAGGAGGACAAUAGCAGUCUCCAUGGAGGAGUGUGCUAAUGGUUAACCCCUGGAUCUCUGGUCCUGUUUAUUGAAGUAGAAGCAGAUAGAAGGCACUGAGGACCCCAGGCCAGUGCUUAAUAUCUGGACAUGAAUGGACAAAAGGGACAGUGAGCUAAAUUGAGGAUCCAUUGUGUGUCAGGCCUCAUGUGAGCUACUCACAGCUAAGAGAUGUCAGGAGUUGAAGUGACAAUGCAAACUGGAG
rnacentral:lncRNA from 1 species